CGUGUAGGCGGGGAUUUAAGUAGGGUGUGAAAACUCCGGGCUCAACUUGGAGACUGCAUCCUAAACUGGAUCUCUUGAGGGCAGGAGAGGAAAGUGGAAUUCCUAGUGUAGCGGUGAAAUGCGUAGAUAUUAGGAGGAACACCAGCGGCGAAGGCGGCUUUCUGGACUGAAACUGACACUGAGGCACGAAAGCGUGGGGAGCAAACA
rnacentral:rRNA from 1 species